AUUGAACGCUGGCGGCAUGCCUUACACAUGCAAGUCGAACGGCAGCACGGGUGCUUGCACCUGGUGGCGAGUGGCGAACGGGUGAGUAAUACAUCGGAACAUGUCCUGUAGUGGGGGAUAGCCCGGCGAAAGCCGGAUUAAUACCGCAUACGAUCUACGGAUGAAAGCGGGGGACCUUCGGGCCUCGCGCUAUAGGGUUGGCCGAUGGCUGAUUAGCUAGUUGGUGGGGUAAAGGCCUACCAAGGCGACGAUCAGUAGCUGGUCUGAGAGGACGACCAGCCACACUGGGACUGAGACACGGCCCAGACGCCUACGGGAGGCAGCAGUGGGGAAUUGUGGACAAUGGGCGAAAGCCUGAUCCAGCAAUGCCGCGUGUGUGAAGAAGGCCUUCGGGUUGUAAAGCACUUUUGUCCGGAAAGAAAUCCUUGGCCCUAAUACGGUCGGGGGAUGACGGUACCGGAAGAAUAAGCACCGGCUAACUACGUG
rnacentral:rRNA from 1 species